ACGGGGUGCCUCCACAGCCAGAGAUCUCAGAAGGACGACAGCUGCCUCCUUGAGUCAGUAACACUACCGCCACUACUCUGCCACCACGAGCCACAGCAUGAGUGAGCCGCGGUGGUGGUACGAGGCAGACAGCUAUGUAAGAAAUAUGGCGGCUAUUGUGGAGGCCGGAAGUAAAAC